UAUAUCUAAUUUCUAACAGCGCUCGCCAGCACCGCCACAAUCGUGUGCCAGGUCGGGCCGUGGCACGGUGCCCGGGCACUGGCCCGCGUGCGCUUCCUGGGCCGCCAUGCCCCUCUGGUGCAUACCACUCCCACCCCCGCCCUCUAGACACCUCUGGAUAUAUGCAUAGUAGUUGCCAGCAUCACAACGUGGCAAAGCAGCCCGCACACGGACGUCGCCAAGGCGGCACCCAGCCCGGAGGCGCGUGCAAGGCCACGCGCUGCGCCC
rnacentral:lncRNA from 1 species